UUCAGUGUGAUAAGUAUCCUCACUGGACAAGUUCCCAUCUUGGGACACGCAUGUGCGGUGGGCCCUGCGCUUCGAACCGUCCGGCUCGCUGGACAACCUUUGACAACUUGACCUCAAAUCGGGUGGGACUACCCGCUGAACUUAAGCAUAUCAAUAAGCGGAGGAAAAGAAACUAACAAGGAUUCCCCUAGUAACGGCGAGUGAAGAGGGAAAAGCUCAAAUUUUGAAUCUGGCAUCUUUGGUGCCCGAGUUGUAAUCUAGAGAAGUGUUUUCUGCCUCGGACCACACAUAAAUUCCCUGGAAUGGGGUGUCAUAGAGGGUGAGAAUCCCGUUUGUGGUGUGGACUGCCUUGGCUCUGUGAUACACUCUCAACGAGUCGAGUUGUUUGGGAAUGCAGCUCAAAAUGGGUGGUAAAUUCCAUCUAAAGCUAAAUAUUGGCGAGAGACCGAUAGCGAACAAGUACCGUGAGGGAAAGAUGAAAAGCACUUUGGAAAGAGAGUGAAACAGUACGUGAAAUUGUUGAAAGGGAAGCGUUUGAAGUCAGUCACAUCUGUCGGGACUCAGCCUGGCUUUGCCUGGUGUACUUCCUGGCGGAUGGGUCAGCGUCAGUUUUGAUCGGGAGAGAAAGGCUUGGGGAACGUGGCUGUCUUCGGGCAGUGUUAUAGCCCCUUGUCGUA
rnacentral:rRNA from 1 species